rnacentral:rRNA from 1 species
AAACUAACAUUACAACGGCGUAAAGUGUGGUAACAUGCUAUCCUAGUAACUAAGAUUAAAAAGCAACUGAGUUGUCACAAGCUAAAGAUGCGUACAAGACCACUAUUCAAAGAAAAUCUUAGACAAACGAUUAAUUGAAGCCACGAAAGCCAGGGCCCAAACUGGGAUUAGAUACCCCACUAUGCCUGGCCCUAAAUCUUGGUGCUCGAUCUAACCGGAGCAUCCGCCUGAGAACUACGAGCAUAAACGCUUAAAACUCUAAGGACUUGGCGGUGCUCCACACCCACCUAGAGGAGCCUGUUCUGUAAUCGAUGAUCCACGAUAUACCUGACCAUUCCUUGCACGAAACAGCCUAUAUACCGCCGUCUCCAGCCCACCCACCAUGAAGGACCAACAGU